GACGAACGCUGGCGGCAUGCCUAACACAUGCAAGUCGAACGAUGCUUUCGGGCAUAGUGGCGCACGGGCGCGUAACGCGUGGGAAUCUGCCCUUAGGUUCGGAAUAACAGUUAGAAAUGACUGCUAAUACCGGAUGAUGACGUUAAGUCCAAAGAUUUAUCGCCUGAGGAUGAGCCCGCGUAGGAUUAGCUAGUUGGUGUGGUAAGAGCGCACCAAGGCGACGAUCCUUAGCUGGUCUGAGAGGAUGAUCAGCCACACUGGGACUGAGACACGGCCCAGACUCCUACGGGAGGCAGCAGUGGGGAAUAUUGGACAAUGGGCGCAAGCCUGAUCCAGCAAUGCCGCGUGAGUGAUGAAGGCCUUAGGGUUGUAAAGCUCUUUUACCCGUGAUGAUAAUGACAGUAGCGGGAGAAUAAGCCCCGGCUAACUCCGUGCCAGCCGCCGCAGUAA
rnacentral:rRNA from 1 species